rnacentral:rRNA from 1 species
GAUGAACGCUGGCGGCGUGCCUAACACAUGAAGACGAGCGAUCUUCUUCGGAAGAGAGCGGCGGACGGGUGAGUAAGCGUGGGUAACCUGCCCUGUACACACGGAUAACAUACCGAAAGGUAUGCUAAUACGGGAUGAUGUAUGAAAGUCGCAUGGCUUUUAUAUCAAAGCUCCGGCGGUACAGGAUGGACCCGCGUCUGAUUAGCUAGUUGGUAAGGUAACGGCUUACCAAGGCGACGAUCAGUAGCCGACCUGAGAGGGUGAUCGGCCACACUGGAACUGAGACACGGUCCAGACUCCUACGGGAGGCAGCAGUGGGGAAUAUUGCACAAUGGGCGAAAGCCUGAUGCAGCAACGCCGCGUGAGCGAUGGAGGCCUUCGGGUCGUAAAGCUCUGUCCUCAAGGAAGAUAAUGACGGUACUUGAGGAGGAAGCCCCGGCUAACUACGUGCCAGCAGCCGCGGUAAUACGUAGGGGGCUAGCGUUAUCCGGAAUUACUGGGCGUAAAGGGUGCGUAGGCGGUCUUUCAAGCCAGAAGUGAAAGGCUACGGCUCAACCGUAGUAAGCUUUUGGAACUGUAGGACUUGAGUGCAGGAGAGGAGAGUAGAAUUCCUAGUGUAGCGGUGAAAUGCGUAGAUAUUAGGAGGAAUACCAGUAGCGAAGGCGGCUCUCUGGACUGUAACUGACGCUGAGCACGAAAGCGUGGGGAGCAAACAGG